rnacentral:rRNA from 1 species
AUUGAACGCUGGCGGCAGGCUUAACACAUGCAAGUCGAACGAGUGGCGGACGGGUGAGUAAUGUCUGGGAACCUGCCCGAUGGCGGGGGAUAACUAAUGGAAACGGUAGCUAAUACCGCAUACCAUCGGAUGUGCCCAGAUGGGAUUGGCUAGGAGGUGGGGUAACGGCUCACCUGGGCGACGAUCCCGAGCUGGUAUGAGAGGAUGAACAGCCACACGGGAACUGAGACACGGUCCAGACUCCGACGGGAGGAAGCAGUGGGGAAUAUUGCACAAUGGGAGCAAGCCGGAUGCAGCCAUGCCGCGUGGAUGAAGAAGGCCUUCGGGUUGUAAAGUACUUUCAGCGAGGAGGCGUUACUCGCAGAAGAAGCACCGGCUAACUCCGUGCCAGCCGCCGCGGUAAUUC